rnacentral:lncRNA from 1 species
AUAAAGAGCAAUAGAGAAUAUAUUUUAUUGAUCAAUAGAGAUAUUUACAGAACUUUCUUAAAGUUUUUAUUUAUAAGCAUAAAAUGUAUAAAUGAAGUAGAGAACUACUUUUAAUGACUAUUAAAAUUUAAAAUACAUCAAGACCUUUUUUGAUCUUGAUGGAUAUUCAAUUAAUAAUAUAUUCAUAACAAAUAAGAAUUAAUAAGUUUUUUUUAUUAAAUUGAAAGGUGAAAUAAAUUAUAAUGCAAAGCCAAUUACUAGUUCCCAAGCAUUUAAUACAGAUUUAAUACAGGCGAUGAGAAUUUAUUUUUGGUGGCUGAUUUAAUAGAAGCAAAUUACAGAAUAUGGAAGACUGAGCUUAUUACCAGAUUGUUUCCCCCUGAGAUUGCCACGGCCAUCUGUUGUAUUCCACUAUCUGAAUAUGUUGACGAUGAUGUGCCAGUUUGGAAAGGAGAACAUACAUGACUUUACACAGUCAGGAGUGGUUAUCAAAUGUUAACCUAUGCCUCUGAUUAUACAGACUCUACCCAAGGUAAUAUUGACUUUUACAAAAAAAUUUGGUCUCUCCAAAUCACUCCCAAAAAUAAGAUAGCAAAUUGGAGAAUAAUACACAAUUUUAUUCCUACAGCAUCUAUACUUUACAAUAGAAGACUUGCUAUUUCCCCUAUGUGUCCCCGCUGUAAUAUUGAAGCUGAGACUCCGCUACAUAUAAGCACACGGUGUGGCCCUGCACAGGAAGUUUGGAGACAGGUUAAUCUUGAAUGGACUCUAUCUGGUAACCAUGAGGACUACUGGAGCUGGUUUACUCACCUAAUGAGAUCGAGUGACACCCACGCCUGUUUUACCAUCGCCAUUACAAUUUGGGGUUUGUGGUAUGCUCGUAAUAGACAUGUCAUGGAAGGGAAACAACAACAUGCACUAGAAAUUAGUGCCAAAGUUAUCAGCCUUGUUCGUGAACUCAAGGAGUUCAGAGCGAAAUUACCCGAGGCAAGGAUAACGAUGAAGCAAAGCUGGACCCCCCCGACGGAUCCGAUGCUCAAGCUUAACUUUGAUACUGCUUUUCAUGCCCAAAGCCGACAGUCUUCUUCUGGUUUUGUUGUUAGGAACGCCCAAGGCCAGGUUUUGGGAAGUGGUAUGGUACGGAACAAUUUUGUCUCUGAUCCUUUCAUGGCUGAAAUGCUUGCUUGCCUCGGAUGGUCUGCGAUUUGCCACUGACAUGGGUUUCAAGAAUUUAGUGGUUGAAGGGGACUCAAGAUCUACUAUUGUGCGUAUUACUGAGAUGGGUAGGGAUAGAUCUGCAAUUGGGGUUUAUGUUGAAGAAAUUAAGCAAAGAGCUAGAAUGUUUGAUAAAAUAAUUUUCAGAUCUGUUGAUAGGAACGCGAAUCGGGUGGCCCAUAUUCUAGCUAAAGCAAGAUCUACUUUCAAUGAAGACCGAUUUUGGGUAGAGGAUGUACCUGAUAUGGCUGUGUUGGUGGUGAAGGCUGACUGCCCGAUCCCAGUUGCGCCGGAUUAAGGUUUUUCCGUCCUCAGCUAGGGCUCCUUCAUGCUUCAAUUUGGAGCUUCCUUACACUCUUUUGGAUUUAGUUUUGAAACCCUGGUUUUUGCCUUUUCUUUUCUUUAUCUCCUAUCCCAGGAAACCGAGGCUAAUGGGUAUCUUUAUUUAUUGCGCACCGUUUUGUUUAGCUUCUUUAAUAACUGUGCCUCGGUAUUAUUCAAAAAAAAAACAUGAGUUUUAACAAUUAUUCUAUUUAAAUUAAAACAAAGUAAUAUUACUUUCUUAAAAGAAUAGUUUUAAGUGAUUUUAUAAUAAAAAACUCAAACUUAUAAUAAUAUAAUGAAAGAAGUAUAAUUCUAUCACAAAUAAAAAAAAUCAUCACAUAAAAUUUAUAAAACAUAUUUUAUAUAAUUAUAAACAAUAUUAGAUUAUAAAACACAUGAAUGAAAAUAGGAUUAUGUAGUAUAUAUUUAUAAAAAGUUUAAUAUUUAAUUGAAUGGUAAAAUAAAAAUGUUUAGAGUGGGAUUUAAAAUUUGAAUUAUUGUGCCUGAAAUAAAUUAAUUAGGAAAUAUCAAAGGAAAAUAAUCAGCUUGGUUUUUGCCCCACACAAUGCACCGCAGCAACUCUUCUCCCCAUCUUAUCUUAUCUUUUCUAGAGAAACCCUAAUUCACCUCUGCCUUUCUUACCUACUUAACCCAAUAAAAUGGUAGAAUUCUGAAGGGAAAGAAAAACUUUACCUUAAAACAGAAAAAAAGAAUCCUUCCUUCAACUCUAAAAUAUUUACUUUUUCCAUAUCUCCAAGGAAGCCCCAAUUAAAAUUUCACAGUUUUUUUUUUUUGGGGGGGCUUUGGGGCUGUAAACUAUUUUACUGAACUGCUA